rnacentral:tRNA from 1 species
GUCGCCCAACCAGUAUGGUAACUAUGACUUUCGGCUUGUAACCGAAUGGGUUCGGGUUCGAAUCCCGAGUAAGACU